GACAGGCAGUGGCUGACACCUGUAAUACCAGCUACUCAGGAGGCUGAGGCAGGAGGAUUGCUUGAGUCCAGAAGUUCUAAGCUGUGGUACACUACACAGAUCAGGGGUCCACACUAAGUUUGGCAUCCAUAUGGUGACCUCGCGGGAUCAAGGGACUGCCAGGUUGCCUAGGGAGGGGUGAACCAGCCCAGAUUGGAAAUGGAGCAAGUCUAAACACCCAUGAUGAUCAGUAGCGGGAUCACUCCUGUGAAUAGCCACUGCACUCCAGCCUGGGCAAGAUAGUGAGGCCCUGUCUCU
ensembl:misc_RNA Metazoa_SRP Metazoan signal recognition particle RNA